GACGAACGCUGGCGGCGUGCUUAACACAUGCAAGUCGAACGGAAAGGCCCUGCUUUUGUGGGGUGCUCGAGUGGCGAACGGGUGAGUAACACGUGAGUAACCUGCCCUUGACUUUGGGAUAACUUCAGGAAACUGGGGCUAAUACCGGAUAGGAGCUCCUGCUGCAUGGUGGGGGUUGGAAAGUUUCGGCGGUUGGGGAUGGACUCGCGGCUUAUCAGCUUGUUGGUGGGGUAGUGGCUUACCAAGGCUUUGACGGGUAGCCGGCCUGAGAGGGUGACCGGCCACAUGGGGACUGAGAUACGGCCCAGACUCCUACGGGAGGCAGCAGUGGGGAAUAUUGAACAAUGGCGGAAGCCUGAUGCAGCAACGCCGCGUGCGGGAUGACGGCCUUCGGGUUGUAAACCGCUUUCGCCUGUGACGAAGCGUGAGUGACGGUAAUGGGUAAAGAAGCACCGGCUAACUACGUG
rnacentral:rRNA from 1 species